UACGGAGGGGGCUAGCGUUGUUCGGAAUUACUGGGCGUAAAGCGCUCGUAGGCGGCUUUGUGCGUUAGCGGUGAAAGCCCGGGGCUCAACCCCGGAACUGCCUUUAAGACUGCAUCGCUUGAAUCCAGGAGAGGUGAGUGGAAUUCCGAGUGUAGAGGUGAAAUUCGUAGAUAUUCGCAAGAACACCAGUGGCGAAGGCGGCUCACUGGCCCGGUACUGACGCUGAGGUGCGAAAGCGUGGGGAGCAAACAGG
rnacentral:rRNA from 1 species